rnacentral:rRNA from 1 species
ACAGAGGGUGCAAACGUUGUUCGGAAUUACUGGGCGUAAAGCGUGUGUAGGCGGUCUCAUAAGUCGGGUGUGAAAGCCCCGGGCUCAACCCGGGAAGUGCACUCGAAACCGCGAGGCUAGAGUACUGGAGAGGUUGGUGGAAUUCUCGGUGUGGAGGUGAAAUUCGUAGAUAUCGAGAGGAACACCGGUGGCGAAGGCGGCCAACUGGACAGAUACUGACGCUGAGACACGAAAGCGUGGGGAGCAAACAGGA